UACGAAGGGGGCUAGCGUUGUUCGGAAUCACUGGGCGUAAAGGGCGCGUAGGCGGCCUGAUAAGUCGGGGGUGAAAGCCUGUGGCUCAACCACAGAAUUGCCUUCGAUACUGUUAGGCUUGAGACCGGAAGAGGUAAGUGGAACUGCGAGUGUAGAGGUGAAAUUCGUAGAUAUUCGCAAGAACACCGGUGGCGAAGGCGGCUUUCUGGACACUAACUGACGCUGAGACGCGAAAGCGUGGGGAGCAAACAGG
rnacentral:rRNA from 1 species